UACGGAGGGUGCAAGCGUUAUCCGGAUUUACUGGGGUUAAAGGGUGCGUAGGCGGGUUUCCAAGUCAGUGGUGAAAGCUCCGAGCUUAACUCGGAAAUUGCCAUUGAUACUGGAAGUCUUGAAUUCAGUUGAGGUCGGCGGAAUGUGUCGUGUAGUAGUGAAAUACUUAGAUAUGACACAGAACACCAAUUGCGAAGGCAGCUGGCUAACCUGACAUUGACGCUGAGGCACGAAAGCGUGGGGAUCAAACAGG
rnacentral:rRNA from 1 species